GAUGAACGCUGGCGGCGUGCUUAACACAUGCAAGUCGAACGGGAUCCAUCGGGCUUUGCUUGGUGGUGAGAGUGGCGAACGGGUGAGUAACACGUAUCCAACCUGCCCUUUACUCGGGAUAGCCUUUCGAAAGAAAGAUUAAUACCCGAUGGCAUAAUGAUUCCGCAUGGUUUCAUUAUUAAAGGAUUCCGGUAAAGGAUGGGGAUGCGUUCCAUUAGGUUGUUGGUGAGUAACGGCUCACCAAGCCUUCGAUGGAUAGGGGUUCUGAGAGGUUGAACGGCCACAUUGGGGACUGAGACAACGGCCCAG
rnacentral:rRNA from 1 species